GCCAGCAUUGUAUAGUGGGUUUGAGCAUUGGACUAUGACUCUGAAGACCAGGGUUCAAAUCACAGCUCUGCCA